UACGUAGGGUGCAAGCGUUGUCCGGAAUUAUUGGGCGUAAAGAGCUCGUAGGCGGUCUGUCGCGUCAGCUGUGAAAACCCGGAGCUCAACUCCGGGCCUGCAGUCGAUACGGGCAAACUGGAGUACUGCAGGGGAGACUGGAAUUCCUGGUGUAGCGGUGAAAUGCGCAGAUAUCAGGAGGAACACCGGUGGCGAAGGCGGGUCUCUGGGCCAAAACUGACGCUGGAGGAGCGAAAGCGUGGGGAGCGAACAGG
rnacentral:rRNA from 1 species